UUUCUCCACUGAAUAUUCCACAAAGUGAUACCUCACUGUCUUCCACCACCUCUGUUUGAUCGUGAGUCUUAACCCAGAAGUAUUAAAUAACUAAUGAAUAAUCUAGGAUUAAGAAGUAUUUAAAUGGUCAUUUCUCUAUCUCCAUAUAAUGCUUAGUUGUACCUUUCUUUUAAGGUAAGUGAAUUCUAUUCAAAUCUCAGUCUUCUGCAGAGAAGUACUGAGGGGAAUGUUAUUCCCUUUCUAGUACUAUCUGUAAUGGAUUUCCAUUAAAGGACAUUCUUAUCUAAUGAACUUUUCUUUAUUUGCUUUACGUUAAAGUUUUUUGAUAGAAUCUUCAGGUAUGUAUCUCUUAUCAUUUGAAAAACACUUCUAUAUUGUCAUUACUUCAUUUUUUGUUCUGUUCCCUCUUAAAAGAUAGUCUCAAGAGUAUGGAAUUGGCAUGAUUUUUGGUGUAUUCUAGGUCUAAAAUAUUAAAAUUCAUGGCUUCUUUCCCAUUGCAUUAUCCAAACCUACUUGGAGGUUGAAGCUUUAGACAUGAAGAAAAUGAAUUCUUAGCAGCGCAGUGUGGAUUAGGAUUUAGUUGGCAAGAUGGAAGAUAAAUAGUAAAAAGAGGGAAAAGAAUAUGUGGGAAUUAUUAAAUAUUUGAACAGUGACUGCUCCUCGAAAAUUGGCAGUGAAUCUUCUUGGCCUCUGGCCUGGGAUUGUCCAUAUUCUUGGCUUCUCACAUCUAUCAAUUCUUCAGUUCCUUCUCAUGUUUUCAAAUUCAGUUUUCAUUUUCUGCAUUGAGACCAUCAGCCAUGUUGAAUGUAGCUAUUUGCAUUUACCGAGGGUAUUUCCGAUGUUCCAGUGAACUGAACUGUGUACAGCUUGUGUGUAAUUUGGGUACAGGCACCCCUACCUCUGCAGGGAAGUGACACACCUCCUUAUUCAUAACAAUUAUCCUAGCUGAUGGAGCUCAGCGAGACAUCACCUCUGCUCACUUGAUGGGGACAGAUUUUCUGAGGGGCUACUGAUUCCCUGUUUGAAUCCUGUCGUCAAUAUCCAUGUGUGAAAUUAUUAAUUACAAAGCAUAAUGGAAUGGUCUCACAGGAAAAGACUGAACAGCUUUACUUGAAGGUCACUGUUGGAAUUGGCCCUCUGUGAUACAUUAUUAUCAACUAAACAUUUCAUUUUGCUCCAUUGUUAAUUGAGUGCCUUGUUCAGCGGUUUACUAUUGUGUGUCAAAAUGAACCUUGCUAUAUGUGGAAAAUGUAGGAUGGAAGUAUUACUGUGCAUUAUGUAGCUUUUAAUUUCAGAAGUGGAAAGGCCCAAAGUACUUCUGUUUUUAGGGAAAAAAAACAAAUACUAAGAUUAAAUGGGUAUAAAUAUAGUUACUUUUUGGAAUCAAGGUGAGUAUGUGAAGAACACAAGUUCAUAGAUAAUCCAUAAAUGGUAGCUAAUAUGAAGAAGAUUAUGGUGAUAAUGAUGAUGGUGGUUGUGAUAGUAACGGUGCUCUGAGCCUAGAAUAUCAAUGCCAUAGCUUCUUUUAGACACUGCCUUUCUUGUGUCUUUACAUUUCCAGGCAAAUGCAGACCACCACCCAAUAGACAAUUUUCCUUGCCAUAGUAUUAUCCCAAGUAACGAGGGUUGUAUUAUUAGUUUAUGAGUCAUAGGUCCUCAGUAGGAAACAUUUCCAUUGUGAUUUAGUAAUGACCAAACCUUCUCUGUCCUAAUGAAGCAACUUCUGGGUUAUGGCUACUAGAAUCUCAGCUGGACUCCUGUGAUUGACAGUGGGCAAGUGAACCAAUGAAUGGGAAAAAAAAUAAAGAUGUGUCCAAAUGAAAGUGAUGAGGCCUUUCCAGCAUUCAGUUCUCCUCAUUCUUCUAGAAAGCUAUGACUUAUCAAGAUUCAGAUCCAUAUUUUUGCCAUGUUCUUAUGUCUACCAUUGGCAAAGAUAGUAAUAAAAAAAUAGCUCAUAUUUAUCUCUUGUUUCCUUCAUGUCAAGGACCAUUCUAAGUUUUUUACAUGUGUUAAUUCAUUUAAUCUUCACAACAAGUGUGUGAGCUAGGUACUGUUACUGAUCUCAUUUUUUAGAUGGGAAGCUUAAUCAUAGGAAAUUUGAAUUGUUUGUCCAAAAUAUUUCUUAUCUGAGUGUAAGUUCUAAACUAAUAUGAAUAUUCAUGACAGGACUGAGUGAUUUUUUUUUUAAAAAAUAAAUUUUAUCAGAAUAUGGUUGACUUUGAAGGUUGUUUUUGAAAUUUCCUUAUUCUGGACUCCCCUACUUUGUUGAUACCAUUUUUAUUAUCAGCAUAAUCAUUUUACUGUCAUUUUUAACCUCCCUAUAAGCUCUCUAUCUCAGGUAACAUAAUCACCUUAUCUCAUUUAACUUUGACCAAAAAUAAAAACUUUUGUUUUUCCAUUUCAUAAUUGAAGAAACCAACAGAUAGAGAAGUGACACUACAAGUCUACAUGUACAACUAGAGAGUGGGGGUGCACCUGUGUGACUCCAAGGCCACAUCUUAUCCACCUUGAAAACUAUUCCUUAUACAGCAUUGCAUAGAAUAUCCUUACUAUAGUUGUGGCUACUCUGGUGGUAAGUGAUGCUGCUGUGGGAAUGUGUGCAUUUCAGGAGUUGUUUUCUGUGUUGUCUCCCAGCUUGACUAGCAUGUAUUCUUUGCGGAAUAGCUCUGUGGCAGAGCCUAGGUCCAAGUAUCCAGGGCAGUGAUGACAACAGGCACUAGAUUUUAUGUAAUUACUGACCAUUUGAUAAUGUUGAGCAAGCUUCCACAGAGCAACUGUAUGGCACUAUUUAUUAAAUCCUGUAAUUCAGUGUAGGUCAGAUCUGUGCUAAGACGUAUCUGUAAUUUGGGUCCAUCUCCAAUAUUUUAUGGUUUCACUCCACCUGUCUCUCAUCUCUGACAGCCCAGGAUAGCAGAGUAGCCAAGACAAUGUGAAAAAUAUUCCUGUUUUCAGUAUAAGCUGAUAGAAUUUAUAAAUCCUCAUUGUCUCCUGUCUUUUGAUUAUAUUUUCUAUGUAGAAACCUUCAAAUAGACUGAAUUUGGAUUCAUAAGAUCUGCUGCCACAAAAUACUAUUUUUUAGUUAAUGUUUACACCCCUCUGAACUACAUCAUUUGGGUACAAGGCUUUGAUACACCUUAAAACCUGUGCUAUUUAUUUUACACAUUUGUUGGAAUGAAUUUAUAAAGUCAUUUCUCCCAGUGGAUUUUGGUCAGGUCAUGGAGAGUGAGGUCAAACAAGUCCUGGGUAUCUAAGGAAGUUUCAGAGGCAAGGGUCCUUCUUUGGGAAAGGGAAGGGGAGAAUAAGACUAUACAAUGAGGUGGGAGGCAAUUUGCCUACUACAUAAUUUCCCCUGCGGCCAAUGCUAUGUAUAUCAUUUCUCUCAUACUUUCUGUCUUUUUGAGUAAGGAAGAAGGGCUCUGGUAAUAAUGAUCUACUUUCAGAAAGUAUAUGUAUGAUGAAAUUGUCUGCCUCAGGCUACCUUUAUUGAUUGUUUUCAGGAAAAUGUGUCAUGAGCCAGGGAUGUGUCUUGCCAUUACAUUAUGAUAUCUUUUCCAAAAUGGGUUUAUUUUUCUCAGUUCUGCUGGCUUUCUAGAGGUCAAGGUCUGGGAGGAAGCAUAGCAGAAUUGAAGUAUAGUAAUAUAGAUGGAUGUAUGUUUUUUCAUAGUUUUAAGACUGAAAAUAACUGAAAAACUUCAAUAAAAUAAGGUAAAUACAUUUGUAGAACUGUCUGGUAGUGUACGCAUAUCAGUUACUUUGCUGGGUUUUAUCAUUUUCUCUCCUAUUAGAGACUGAAGGAAGUCCAUAGAAACCACACAUAGAAUCAUGUGUAGAAAUGGUCUACCUAGAUCUGCAGAAGUUUGCUGUGUGGUACUUUUCAGGAUUGGAAGAGAAAGACAUUCUCAAUGGUCCUUUGUUCUUAUGAAGUGGUAUGAUGAAAAAGUGAUUGCAUAUGGAAACAUCUUCUGUAAAACAAAUACAGUUAUCUGAACAUAGUUUUUUUGAAGAAUUCAUUACACACAAACAGAUAUAUACAUGCAAUGGAUUUUCCCCUACUGUUUAAGUGAUUAACACCUGAGAUUUUAUUGAAGGAUUACAUGUUUUCUUUAAUCUUCACUAAUAACAUUUGUUGUGUAUUUUCCAGUUAGUCAGUAUCUUUCAAGUUGAGAUGGAGAAUUGAACCUAAUUUUCCAGGUGCUGUCUGGCCAGGGCAACUCAAAUUUACGCAAUGAACAAAUGACUGCUCAAGGAGCAGAUAGCAGAUAUUGGAUCUGAUCCUCAGAGGAGAAUACUUUUUUUGCAUACUUCACGUUAGGCUGAAGAAGAUAAUAGUCUAGGUUGACAAGUACUUGUACACCAGAGUCAAAUGGCCCUCAUUCAUAUCCUGCUCCUCUGCUUACCAAUUCAGCAACUUUGAGAAAAAUCACUUUACUUCCUUCUUAUAGUGGUUAAGAAAUUAAUUCACAGAAAUCACUCAGAUUAUUCUCUGGUCAGUAGUAAGUGCUCAAGAAAUACUCUUGGAAUGAGGAUCCAAGCAGGAUUCUAAAGGAGAUUCUCACAUACUUUUCAGGGUCUUUCUUAUCAUCACCUUUAGCACUAACACUGCCAUUGUUCUAUAGGAAAAGCAGUUCCUCUGGGGCCUUUCUGCUUCUGAAAGUGGUGAUGGUUCUAUAGAUUAAUUAUGGAGCUUUGCUUCCAUGAGGCACCACAUUUUUAACAUUCAUAUUUCUUCCUGAAGGAAAAAAAAAUUUGACUUGAGUCUUUAAACUAUAAUAUUUAACUGCUGGUUUGCACAAUUAAUCAAGUGUUUUCAUAAUCUGGUUACUCUUUUGGACUUGUAGAAUUUCAAAUUAGGAAGGCUAGAAUUUUAAAUUACUUUUGCAUAUCCAAGCUGGGCCAUAUGUAUAAAAGGAAGUAGCAAAAUAAAGGAAUAACUUAGACUGCUAAAAAGAAAAGAAAAAUCCACCAUUCGGAAUUUCUUCAGUCAUUUGACUACUUUGGGAUUAAGAUUUAUUAUCAUGAUUUACUGUCACAAAUAAAUUAUUUGUGAGGCUUGGAGGUCAUCUGAACUCAAAUUUAAGUCUUGUUGAGCCCUGUGUGACAUCUUCAUCUAGUGAUCAUCCAUCCUGUGUUGGGAUACCUCCCUCAUUCCCAAGAUACUUUCCAUUUGUUCUUUGGAUGAAUCCAUUAGAAAAGUCUUUCUCCCUGAGACCUAUGCUCUCUCUUCUCGUAGUUUCCAUCUUUGGUCCUUCUCUCCCUCUAUGAGGGCAUCAAUCCUAGCUUUAGAAUUCUAUUUUAAAAACAUUAGAUAUAUGUAUCCCUAUCUUUCUUACUGUCAUGUGUUUCACAUUCAGCAAAUGAUUUUACUCACUUUUCUAAUCCUCAGUAUAUCACAUAAUUAACUACUAGGAGUUUUAUGAGAACCCCAAACAACUCAAUAAUGGAAUGUCCCUCCUUUUACAGAAGAAUGCAGUUUUAGCAUUUUCAUGGGGGCAUAGGGCAGACAUGCUGCUUCAAGUCCCUGGCAACUUUCUGAUUCAAUUUUGAUAGGGCAGAGUUAUCUCAGGAUAAAUAGCUACAUAUGCUGCCUUUUUCAGAAAAGUAUCACAGGACUUGUACUUCUUUUGAAAUCAGUUUUAUUUCUUGGCUUAAGGUAGGUACCUUUGUUUUCUUGAAGAAGCUAUUCUCUGAAGAGCCUCUGGUUUGAACACUGAUUUCAAAUUAUAGAAACAAAACCUGAGGAGAAGAAAAGAGAGGAAGUAAAUAAGGACACAGAGGGAAAGAAAGAAGAUGGG
rnacentral:lncRNA from 1 species